rnacentral:SRP_RNA from 1 species
GCUGGGCGUGGUAGCAUGUGCCUGUAAGCCCAGCUACUCGGGAGGCUGAGGCAGGAGAAACACUUGAACCCAGGAGGUGGAGGUUGCAGUGAGCUGAGAUCACACCACUGCACUCCAGCCUGGGCAACGAGUGAAAUUCCAUCUCAAAAAAAAAAAAAAAAAACAAAGUAAUAAACAUGAACCUAGGUAUAAACUCUUAAGAUUAUGAAUUUUUUUUUUUUUUUUUGAAACAGAGUAUCGCUCUGUCGCCCAGGCUGGAGUGCAGGGGUGUGAUCUCAGCUCACUGCAACCUCCACCUCCGGGGUUCAAGUGUUUCUCCUGCCUCAG